GGCACUUUGGCGGAGUGGUUAACGCGCUGGCCUGCUAGUCCCUUCUGGGAAAGUCAGCCAGUUCCUUCGGGAGCGUGUGUUCGAAUCACACAGGUGUCGC
rnacentral:tRNA from 1 species